rnacentral:rRNA from 1 species
GAUGAACGCUGGCGGCGUGCCUAAUACAUGCAAGUCGAGCGAACAGAUAAGGAGCUUGCUCCUUUGACGUUAGCGGCGGACGGGUGAGUAACACGUGGGUAACCUACCUAUAAGACUGGGAUAACUUCGGGAAACCGGAGCUAAUACCGGAUAACAUUUGGAACCGCAUGGUUCUAAAGUGAAAGAUGGUUUUGCUAUCACUUAUAGAUGGACCCGCGCCGUAUUAGCUAGUUGGCAAGGUAACGGCUUACCAAGGCGACGAUACGUAGCCGACCUGAGAGGGUGAUCGGCCACACUGGAACUGAGACACGGUCCAGACUCCUACGGGAGGCAGCAGUAGGGAAUCUUCCGCAAUGGGCGAAAGCCUGACGGAGCAACGCCGCGUGAGUGAUGAAGGGUUUCGGCUCGUAAAACUCUGUUAUUAGGGAAGAACAAACGUGUAAGUAACUGUGCACGUCUUGACGGUACCUAAUCAGAAAGCCACGGCUAACUACGUG